ACACUCGUAGCUCAACAGGAUAGAGCAUCAGAUUCCGAUUCUGAAGGUUGUGGGUUCAACUCCCGCCGAGUGUACCA
rnacentral:tRNA from 1 species